rnacentral:rRNA from 1 species
GACGGAGGGGGCAAGCGUUGUCCGGACUCACUGGGCGUAAAGGGCGCGUAGGUGGUCUCGUGCGUCGGUGCUGAAAGCGCCGGGCUUAACCCGGCGAGGCGUGCCGAUACGACGAGACUCGAGGCAGAGAGAGGGUAGCGGAAUUCCGGGUGUAGUGGUGAAAUGCGUAGAGAUCCGGAGGAACGCCAGAGACGAAGGUGGCUACCUGGCUCUGACCUGACACUGAGGCGCGAAAGCGUGGGGAGCGAACCGG